GUUCACCUGGCGCACCCACAUGGCAGCUCACAAGCGUCUGUAACUCCAGCAUCAUGGGUUUCGACUCCCUCUCUGGAUUCCAUGGGCACUGUGGAAGUACCCAGGCUCCUCCUGGAAAGCAGAACGGUGAUGCCAGGAUGACCAAAUCAAAACCUUUGUUUGCAGAUCUUUGCAUGAAACAAAGUCCUGGAGUUGUAGCAACUCAUAAAUAACCUUGCUGAAGCCUUCAACUGGUGACCCAGCAGCUUCCAGCUUGUCAAUAGAUGUGAUUGAGUGUAAAGCCUCUUGGCAGCCAUCGUGGAGCUAAGGCAACCCCUGCAGAAGUUACCUCCACAGAGGAUCGACUGCCCACAAUUCCUGGCUGGGGCACCAAAGCCUCAGGAGACAAGCUGAGGCUUUAGACAAACAUCAUACCUUCCCCAAAAUGGUCAUGAAUUGAGGUAAGCCAGAGAGCAUGGUGAGCCUGAGACCUGCUGAUGAAUGGCAGGCUUUCCAGCCAAGAAUAUUACUGGAUCUUUCUUGUCCUGAUUCGGCUUCCUAACUUGACCUUACUUGAAAACAGAAUGGGCUAUUUCGAGGUUGAGAGUGAGGAUUUAUUGCCACGGAAUUUGUGAAUUAGUUUUCUUCUCUAUUGGGACCUGAGCCUUUGGUUCGUCUUCAGUGGGGUUUGACCUUGAACCACAUGCUGCCUGCGCUGCCCUUGACACCGGACCAAGUAUCUAGCUUCAGAAUGGAAGAUUGGAGAGCUUCCUCUGUCUGUCCUGCUGCUUCCUAAAUAGACCCAGAUAGUAACACUGAAAUGGUGAAAACAAGAGUAUUGCUUUUAUCAGCCUUGUGGUUUCCAACCAAAGCCAACGAUACAUGGGAAAAGGGAAUGUGGAAAAGCUCAUGACUGUACUCAACCAACAAAGCCAAGCUCACAUACUCUUGUAUGACCUGCCGGUGUAAGCCAAGCAAACCUUUCCUUCCCUCAGCUGCCUUUGGUCCAGGCAUUUUUCUAACUGUGAACUUCAUAUUUCGUUUAUAUUGCUAACUCCGAUUUAAGAAAUGACAUCAGUUUAAGUAAUGUGAUCAGAAAGAAAGCUUUUCUAUGCGAGAUCAAUCUAGUCAACACUCCAGCUUGGACUGAGAGGGGCUCAUGAGCUCUUGCCCCUAGCUGAGGAGCUGGUGACAGUUUGUGGCCUCUGGGGGACAUUAUCUUAAGAGCAUAACCCAUGGUAGGUCAACCUAUGCUCCAGUGAUAUAUUGUUUAUGAUUUAAUAAAGCUUGCUUGGGGAUCA
rnacentral:lncRNA from 1 species